rnacentral:misc_RNA from 1 species
AAGAAGGAUAUGAGUUAAUUACAAAGUUUAAUUUGGAGGAUUACUUUCCGCUAAAGCUUUUGGACUUUCAUGGAGUGAAGAGAAGAUGCUAUAAAUUGGCAGGCAAGGUUAACUGUGUUGUGGGUGAAAUUGUGAGAGAAAGAAAAGCAGCUGGGGAUUUUAGUAGUGGAAGUGACUUUCUUAGUGCCUUGCUAUCUUUGCCUGAACAGGAGCAGCUAAGUGAAUCUGAU